GACGAACGCUGGCGGCGUGCUUAACACAUGCAAGUCGAACGGAAAGGCCCUGCUUUUGUGGGGUGCUCGAGUGGCGAACGGGUGAGUAACACGUGAGUAACCUGCCCUUGACUUUGGGAUAACUUCAGGAAACUGGGGCUAAUACCGGAUAGGAGCUCCUGCUCCAUGGUGGGGGUUGGAUAGUUUCGGCGGUUGGGGAUGGACUCGCGGCUUAUCAGCUUGUUGGUGGGGUAGUGGCUUACCAAGGCUUUGACGGGUAGCCGGCCUGAGAGGGUGACCGGCGACCUUGGGACUGAGAUACGGCCCAGAGUGCUAUGGGAGGCAGCAGUGGGGAGUAUUGCACAGUGGGCGGAAGCCUGAUGCAGCAACGCCGCGUGCGGGAUGACGGCCUUCGGGUUGUAAACCGCAUUCGCCUGUGACGAAGCGUGAGUGACGGUAAUGGGUAAAGAAGCACCGGCUAACUACGUG
rnacentral:rRNA from 1 species